rnacentral:lncRNA from 1 species
CCAGACACAGAAGUAGAUUCUAAAAUGCAAGCAUAGAGCACGGGUGAUAGCGUGCUCCCUUCACCAUGAGAAAGGAAGCAAACACAUACACAGCCUGGGUCAACCUCCACCUUCGGCUAUCGCCCGGGCGGGGGGAGCCUCUCCUGCCAGCCGCCUCAGACCCAGCUGACUCAGGAGGGUAUUCGCGCGCUCACCGAGGACGCCCUCCCCACUCGCCCCUGCGCCUCCUCGUCUGCAAAAGAGGAGCCGAG